AGGAGCAGGCUGGCUCUGAACCUCUGACACAUGUCAACACAUCAGUCUCUUAAUGCUUCAUCACCUCAAACACUCAACGAUCACACGUCAGACGUGUCGUCCACAGCAGCUGUGGACGAGCUAACGCUGCUAGCUAACCCGCUAACCGCGCACACGUCAUGGAGGCUGAACACAAACAUGCAACGUGAUAAAAGCAGAUUGCAGUCAACCCAAAGAUCAAGGGAUCCAGUUGUCUCCUGAUCAUGAAGAUUUGACCUGUGUCCUCAGCUGCUGUGUAGAAAUGUCCUGACAGAGGUUUUUACAUCAAGCAUCAGUGUACGUGGUCCUGCUGGGAUUGUGUCCUCUGACUCAGAUCCACCUCCACACCUUCAACACCACCUUCACUGAGCCUCUGCCCUGGGUUUGGUUGGAGGACAGUCUCAUGUCUUUGCUCUGGGAAGAGGUUCAGUCUCCUUAGUUCUCAGGAGGAGGGAGGAUGGCCUCCUGCUGGAGAAUCUCUGUCACUGCAGACCUGCUCAGCAUCACCCACAGCUCAAAGGCAGCAGACUGAUCUUCUGUGGCUGUGAAACCAACAUGGUUCCACAUGAUUUACAGUUUGUGGAUGAAACAGUAAAGAGUUGUUUUCUGUCUGUUGUCCAUGUGUUUGAGACUAAGGAAACAGGAUCUGUCCCUGUAAAGGACUUUUGACUUUUCUGAUGGGAUUAUUUCAGUUGUUUAGACUUUGAACUUAUUUCCUGUUUUACUUGAAAUUAUUCACCCUUUGUGUGUUUCCUAUGUUUUAAUUCCUGUCGUUCCUGCUUUGUAAUUGUUUGACCUGCCUCAUUGUGCUCUCCAGGCAAAAACCACACGAUUCACUAGUUUACAAAUGUGCAGGUAAACCUCCGAAAGGUGUGAACUGUGCCUAAACCCUUAAAUAACAAAGUAACUGCAAUACGAGUUUAAAAAUAAAGAGUCAAUCCUCAAGGUUCAACUUUUGAGAACUGUGUUUCGAUGUUAGGGAAGCAGUUUUUAAAUGUCCUUCACCAGCAGCAUGUGUGACUGUCAGAGACAUGAAGGUUUAACAGACUUUAACUGUCUCCUUCAUUAAAUCGGAUUAAACACGUUAAAUAAUCUCCUGAAACUCAGAUUCAAACAUGAGAUCAAUCUGAACUGCUGCUGGUUGGUGGAGGGAAUCCUCUCGUCCUUUAACUUCUUUAUUGGUUCUUUGUUGACGUCAAACUAACCAACCGGACCGGACCGGAACCGACCGGAACCAACCGGACCGGAAGCGGAAUCCAGCCUGACACAGGUGAGUGGCGUCACCUGACCCACAGCUCGUGUGGUUGCGUCAAACAUCAGAUUCGGACUUUCACCAGAACUAGUUAACUUGGUAACCACACAACUGAAUUAACUAGGCUGUAAACAAGCUAGUCAGUAAUAAGCUAAAUGGACUUCCACGUUUACUAGCUGUGUAGAACUGUAUAGCUAGUAAACUAGCUCAUCAAUUCAGCUGACUGGCAGUUAGUUGAGUUAACUUGCUAGUUGAACUGAAUCGACUAGUCAGCACACUCAGCCUGCUAGUUGUUAUUAACACUGGUCUCUGAUUGGCUGAGC